rnacentral:rRNA from 1 species
UACGGGGGGGGCAAGCGUUGUUCGGAAUUACUGGGCGUAAAGGGCUCGUAGGCGGCCAACUAAGUCAGACGUGAAAUCCCCCGGCUUAACCUGGGAACUGCGUCUGAUACUGGAUGGCUCGAGUUUGGGAGAGGGAUGCGGAAUUCCAGGUGUAGCGGUGAAAUGCGUAGACAUCUGGAGGAACACCGGUGGCGAAGGCGGCAUCCUGGACCAACACUGACGCUGAUGAGCGAAAGCCAGGGGAGCAAACGGG